UAUAUAUAUAUAUAUAUAUAUGUGCUGAGCUUCAACAUUCCAAGAAGAAAAGGAAACAUAUUGAUUGUAAUGUGCCUGCAGGGAAAGACAGGAGCUAAUUGGCUUCUGAAACUGGUGACCUGCAACAAGUGAACCUCUUCCAUUUGAUCCAAAUUUGGGAAUAUCUUUGGACUAUAGCCACAUAAGACAAAUCCAUUGCGAUGUGUGUGCUACAUGUGGUGCUAAUGGGGGAAAUGUGGGGUCUAUGUGGAUUGGGAAAAUAUAGUACAAAUAAGGAUUUUUUUUAAAGUGUAGACACUACAGGCUCUAGGAAUUGCCUAUUCCUCUUCAGAAAAGAAAAGACAUAAAACAAAUACAAGCAUAGGAAAAACUGCAUACAUGUGUGUGUGUGUGUGUGUGUGUGUGUGUGUGUAUACUGUGACCCACACGAAGGUCAGACCUGGACCAAACCAAUAAUACCGAAUACCUCAAAACAAACAAUACCCUCUGCUAAUAACCUGGGCACCACCAAGUCCUCAAGCUUAUAUAUCUAUAUCUAUAUCUAUAUUGUGUGUAUGUAUGUGUGUAUAUAUAUAUAUAUAUAUAUAUAUAUAUAUAUAUAUAUAUAUAUAUUCUCUCUCUCUCUCUCUCUCUCUCUCUAUAUAUAUAUAUAUAAUUAUGUAUGUAUGUAUGUAUGUAUGUAUUAGACUUAAGCUAUGCUAGAACUAAACAGCCAAUUCCAAACCUAAAAGUCCAAACAGUAACUAAUUGAAAUGCUAACAUGUUAAUAAACUCUGAUCUCCUUCCCCCAAAUGAAAAACUAAUGAAAAAAGAUCCAUGAAUGAUUUCCAUGUGUAAGUCGAGGGCAAGUUUGGGGCCGAAAUUUUGAUAUGACCUAUGGAUAAGUCAAGGGUCAUUCCACAGAGAGAGGAAAAUGCCAGUGACAACUCGGGGAGCUAGCUGCCCUGGCCACCAUGGCUACUUUCCCAUUCAGACAUUCAAAAUGACAGAAAGGACGUGACAGUGGCAAGAAUAAAAAAGUAAUUGCUUCUUUUAGAUUCCUUCAUGGAUGGACUAAAGCUCCUUCUACACUGCCAUAUAAAAUCCAGAUUAUUUGCUUUGAACUGUAUUAUAUGGCAGUGUAGACUCAUAUAAGGAGCCUCUGCUGAGCUGCUGAACUUGCUGAUCGAAAGGUUGGUGGUUCGAAUCUGGGGAGCGGGGUGAGCUCCUGUUGUUAGCCCCAGUUUCUGCCAACAUAGCAGUUCGAAAACAUGUAAAUGUGAGUAGAUCAAUAGGGACCGCUCCAGUGGGAAGGUAACAGCGAUCCAUGCAGUCAUGCCCACCAUAUCACCUUGGAGACACCUACGAACAAUGCCGGCUCUUCAGAUAAGAAAUGGAGAUGAGCACCAACCCACAGAGUCAGACAAAACUAGACUUAAUGUCAGGGGAAAACCUUACCUUUACUAGACUCAUAUAAUCCAGUAGAUAAUGUGGAUUAUCCGCUUGGAUAAUCUGGAUUAUAUGGCAGUGUAGAAGGGGCCGAAGUUCUCACUUUUGCCACUCUGCUGAUAGAAGGUGAUGGUUCCUUUUUAAAAAAUGUGAGAGUUAGGAUGCAAUAUUCAGAUUGACCUGUGGAUAAGUUGACACAGGUCUUCUGGAUUGUUUUUUGGCUAUAAUAUUUAAAGUAUCAUGCAGGCAAUAAUGCAUAUACUCAUGUAUAUGUUUUCUAGGAGCCUCCGGUGGCGCAGUGUAUUAAAGCGCUGAGCUGCUGAACUUGCAGACCGAAAGGUCCCAGGUUCAAAUCCGGGGAGCUGAGUGAGUGCCCGCUAUUAGCUCCAGCUUCUGCCAACCUAGCAGUUUGAAAACAUGCAAAUGUGAAUAGAUCAAUAAUUACCACUCCGGUGGGAAGGUAACGGCGCUCCAAUGCAGUGAUGCCGGCCACAUGACCUUGGAGGUGUCUACGGACAAUGCCGGUUCCACCCACAGUGGACCCUCGGUAUCUGCUGAGGUUUGGUUCCAGCCCUGUGGACACCAAAAUCUGUGGGUACUAAAUCUCAUUAUAUACAAUGGGCCAAUAAAAUGGUGUUCUUGAUAUUAAAUGGUGAACAACUCAAACGAGUGCUAGAGAGAGCCUAAAAAACUUUGAAAUAGUGGGAGGCUACAGCAGAGUAUUCUUACAUGUCAGCAUAGGGCUUGGCACAUGACACAAUCACAGUUUGCUUUUAGGACCUUCUUUUGAAUAUUUUCAAGCUGUGGAUGGCUGAACCCAUCGAUGCAGAACCUGUGGAUAUGGAGGACCAACUGUCAUUUUAGAUGGUCUUCCCUCCCCAAAUGGCAGGUUUUAUACAAGAAUAGCAUUUCUGCAACACCUUCGUUGUCAAAAGUCAUAAUCAUAGUUAUUGUUUAUGCAUUAGGAAAAUCUCAUCCUACACGGGGCACCAUGUGGGAAAGAUCAGAAUUUGACACUUCAAAAUAAUAAUGAUCAUUUAGCUACUGUUCUACAUCUCUUUGACAAGCCUGACUCGGGAAAGGAAAUACAACAUGCUAAGAGGCAUGGGCAGGUUUCAGAUGUCGCGUCAAGAUGCCCAUCCCUUUGCAUUUCCGAGGAAAUAUCGGAUCACAUGAAUCUGCGGCUGCACGUUGGAUGGAGAUGAAACGCCCGCUGAAUAUAUGGGUGGAAAAGGCAAAAAGGAAAGUGAAAUUCAAUUUAGGCAACAACAAAAAAUCGCAGCAGCCAAGAAAUAAGAUGGAAAAUUAAAAUUGAAUUUCCUUAUAAAUACACAGGGUUUUCUUGGCAAAGUUUUGUUCAGAAAAAGUUUGCCUUUGCCUUCCUUUGAGGUUGAGAAAACUUCAUUUGUCCAAGGUCACCUAGUAAGUUUCAUGCCCAAGCAGGGAUUUGAACCCAAGUCUCCAGAGUUAUAGUCCAAUGCUCAAACCACUACACCAUAUUGUCUCAAAUAGUUGGGACUAAAAUAUUGGUGGUGAAGGAGGAAGCAAAAAAGGAAAAAGAGAGGAAGUACUGGCAUAUAUUACAUUAGCAGAGACUAGAGUCACUGUGCAUUAUUUCCUCAGUUACCACUGAUUCACUAGAAUUAUAUGUUGUAGGAGGGGAAAAAGAAAAACCACCAGUAUCUCAAGCUUCAUUUGUGAUGAAACUGCCUUUUUUAAAGUUUCUGAGAAACCUGAUCAUUUCAAACACCCCCCCCCUCCUCACGUAGGUGAGGAAGUAUUGAGAAAAUAAUAAUCCUCCUCCUUAAAAGCAGAUUUAUAGCAAGCUAAUUCUGUAAAACCAAUUGUGUAGGCUUAACUACUGUGUAGGGAAAAAAGUUUAUGUACCUACUCACUUUCAGCAAGUCAUAUGUUUUGACAAGUUAGGUUAAUAUCUUAUCAUUAAUCAGUUCUAAGAUUCAAUUAUUCUUUUUAAAACUGGCUACAAAAUCUGGCAGUGUGGGGAAUUUAGUAAAUGGUAAUUUAACAUUGAUGCAUCUUUGCUGAUCAGCUACAAUCAGCCUGGUUCCAUGUCAAAAAGAGGGCAAUGAGGAAAUGAUCAAGUGAGGUCUAUAAAGAACUCUGAUUUAAAGAAAUGUACAUUGGUUUCCGAGUAUAAAUACUCUAAAGACACCAGAUUGAUUGACUGAUCUGAGAAGCAAAGCAGUUAAGACUUGGUCAGUACUCGAAUGGGAGACUACUAAUGGAUGCCAGGUGUUGUAGGCUAUAUUUGAGGAAGACUCUGGGAAAAUCAUUUCUCACUAUUCCUUGCCUAAGGAAAGCCUAUAGAAUUUAUGGAGUUAUGAUAAGUCGACAGGCAACUUGAAGAUGCAUAACACAUGUACACAUUUGUUUCAACUGGCAUAAAUUAUCUCCCCAGCAGCAGCUUCUGAAGGGUUUUGGGAUCUCGACUCUUAAAUUAUACUGCUUCUGUUAAAAUAGGAAUUCUCAAACUAUAUUUAUUGUAUUACUAUUUUUGAGAGAGUUUGUAUGCCAAGGUUUUGGUGUGGCUUAUAAGUAACUGCAACAAGAAAUGUGACUUACUCAGGAUCAGUUCUCAUAUGCAUACAGCAUUCAGCAACAUUCGUGACCUUCCCUGCAGACUCGGGCAAAAGUAAAAGGAGAAGUCAUAGGGUGGAGAUAUCAAGCUUGUUUUCUGCUGCCCUGGGGACGAGGACACGGAACAAUGGCUUCAAACUACAGGAAAGGAGAUUCCGCCUGAACAUUAGGAAGAACUUCCUCAUUGUGAGAGCUGUUCAGCAGUGGAACUCUCUGCCCCAGAGUGUGGGGGAGGCUCUUUCUUUGGAGGCUUUUAAGCAGAGGCUGGAUGGCCAUCUGUUGGGGGUGUUUCGAAUGCGAUUUUCCUGCAUCUUGGCAGGGAGUUGGACUGGAUGGGCCACAAGGUCUCUUCCAACUCAAUGAUUCUAUGAUUCCACUCUUCUUAGCAUCAAUAUCGUUAUAUCUAUAUCUAUGUCUUUAUUCAUUUUUGAGCAAUAUAGAUAUUGCUAUACAAUUUAGAAAGACAAUAGUUUCCCCCUAUAUGAUUUAUAUCAUUAUAUACAUCCAUUUAAACUAAUUUCCCCCACCCCACAGAAAACAAUGAUCAAAAUAAUAACAUUAAAAGAUUUUUUGACAUGUUGAAGCAUAUGGCAGUUUGGCACCAGACCCUGGAACAAUGGAGGGAGGCAUUUCCAGCACCACUUCUAUAGCAAAGUCUAGGAAAGUUCCUUUUUGGGGAACUAAAGCCCCCAGACUCUACUGACCUAUGGGCAUGUUGGUUAAGGGAUUCUGAGAAUUUCUGUCUCCAAAAGCACUUUUCCAAGCUCUGAGUUUGACAGACACAAAAACCUGCUGAAUAAAUAGCUCCAUAGAGUUUGGUUAUUUUUUCUCUUCCCUGUGCAGCUAUCACAUGAUAGCCUGACUGUCUGAGAAACAUCCAUCACUUGUCAGCUCUUAUCACUUGCUCAGUGUCAGAGACAUCAGUUUUGAGAUCAGAGGACAUGAGACGCCUCUGGGAUGCUUGUGAGUGAAAGACUUUGCCCGAUGAAUCCGAUCUGACUUUCAGCUGUUUCAAAGAGAUCACGCAGCUGAUAGCUCCUCCUCAUUUGGGUGCACAGCUCAGGAAGAGCUUCUCUGGAGAAAAAAAUACCUUUGGUUUUGGACAAACAACAUCAAUGUUUUUCGGUCAUUCUUCCCCAAUCUUCAUAUCAUCUGACUCUACAGUGCCUCAAUACAAGAGAGUAAAUUACUCACAGAUUUUCAGGUCCCCUAUGUAAUGAGAAGGACAUCGGGCCACAUUUCUUCCAAUGAAGUUGCAUUUAUAUAUUUAUUUCUGUUCACUUAAUGUAAACCUAUAGAGCCUUUAUUGAUUUCAAAAUAGCCACCUUGUGCUUUGUGCAAGUCACCUGGAAUGACAUGGACAAUGCAAUGCGAAAUUGUCAAUACGUUGUAAGGUUUGAUUCAAGCACAAUGAAAGCCACCCUCUGAAAAGCAUUUAUUGGGUCAGAGAUUGCAUACAUCUAGUAUCAUUAUAUUUAAAGGCACAUACGUGUGCAGUACCGAGGCACAGAAGCAGUUUUCCAGGUCAAUGAAUAUAUAUAUAUAUAUAUAUAUAUAUAUAUAUAUAUAUAUAGAGAGAGAGAGAGAGAGAGAGAGAGAGAGAGAGAGAGAGAGAGAGAGAGAGAGAGAGAGGAGUUGCUGCAUAUAAUUAAUGCAUGAUUAUACAUGACAACAUGUCCAGGCUUCUGAUCUACAGGAAAUUGUCUAGUUUCCUAGUCUGCAGUAGAGGUAGGCAUUUCUGGAUAGCUAAUCACACUUUCCUAGGGCUAUUGUGGAAAUAAAAUAGAUAGGAGAAGAGACAGAUAUACCAUUUUGAGCUUAUUGGAGGACAAAAGAGAGGCAUAAUCAUAGCACUUGCAUGCCAUUUCAAUGACAACUGCUGAAUCCUGGAAUUUGUAGUUUCACUGGUAGAGAAUUCUAAAAUCUGGUCAAUUUUGGUAGGGCUGAGAAAAGGCAAACAUUGAUCCCAGCGUUGAAAUGGAUUCUGGGAUCAAGGUUUGGCCCUGCUCGUAGAAUCAAGGUGACCCUAGACAAAUAAUAUUCUCCAAGCCUUAAAGGAAGAUCAUAGGAAAUCUCCUCUGAAUAAAUCUUGCCAGCAAAACACUAUGACAGGCUCACCACAAGUCAGAGUUCAACUGAAGGCAUAUAACAACGACAACAAUCUCCUGCACAUUGCAUUAAGAAUGAAAGCAGCAACAUUAUGCAUAGGUAUUUUAAAGGCGAUGAGAUGUAAAAUUCUGGGUUUGAUUUUUGGCUCUUCAGGUGGGUUUAUUGGUCACCCCGUUUACCUGGGAAUAGUCAUGGGAGAGAUAAGCCUGACCUAGCAUACUUACAUGUGGACUGAUACUUUGUGAGAAACUGGAUGUAUAUGUUUUGUCCUUCUUUCACCCCAAGAUAAAGUCACAAGGGAAGAUAUGUCAACUGUGAGCAACAAAUCCAAUACAAAUAUGCAUACAUGAAACAUUGACGAAACUGUACAGAAAUGAUAAUUUACAUAACGUUUUAUUCUCAUGAUUCCAUAUAGAAAGAUGGUUGAGAGUGGGGAGAGGUCAAGUAUUCCUUAUACCAGAAGCAAUCAUAUAGCAACCCCAACUUCAGAAGGUGGUGUGGUUUCAAACUUGUGAAUAAUCAGAACCAUGGGUAUGACACAAUUGAAAAUGGUAGUAUGACUUGAACUCAGGACUAACUACUAAGUCUGUACAUACCUUAUACACAUAGUCUGAAGAUAAUAUUUUGUGCAUGAAAUGAACUUUGUGUACACUGAACUAUCAGAAAGCAAAGGUGUCACUAUCUCAUCCACUCACAUGGACAAGUUUGGAUUCUGGAGUAUUUUGGAAUUCCGGAUAAUGGAUACUUGUCCUGUAUAUUGAUUCUGAUAUGAUACAUUAUCAGCAAAUAGAUUUUAUUCUUCUGGAGUACCUCAUAUCUCUGUAAUCCAUUAGGGCUUCAUCAUUGACCCCCACUUAAUAAGCUAUGCAUAAUAAUUCAUCACAAAUAAAUAUCGCUCACUAAGGUCAUA